rnacentral:rRNA from 1 species
AUGCAAGUCGAACGCGGAAGAAUCUCUCGGAAUUUUGAAGAGUGGCGAACGGGUGAGGAACACGUAAGAAUCUACCUUUCGGUUGGGGAUAACUCUGGAAACGGGAGCUAAUACCCAAUAUGCUGUGGAGUGAAAGAAUUUCGCCGAAAGACGAUCUUGCGUCUGAUUAGCUGGUUGGGGUGGUAAUGGCACACCAAGGCGAUGAUCAGUAGCUGGUCUGAGAGGAUGGACAGCCACAUUGGGACUGAGACACGGCCCAGACUCC